rnacentral:sRNA from 1 species
CAUGCCUGUGCAGUAGUUACUAUAGAGCUCUGGGGUGGGUUUGUAUGCGCUGGGGGAUGAAACCGACAGACCGUCUCCCAUGUCGUUUCUCGUUUCUCCUUCACCCACUAACGUGCGGGUAGGUUACCGUAGUAUGCCAGUUCACGCAUAGACACGAAAGGGUAGAGCUGAGAGAGUGUGCCCCUGACGUACAACAUCCUUGGAUAUACUGCAGAGAAAUCGUGCCAGGGAACAGCCAAUAUUAUCAUCUUCGUUAACUAGUUCAUUGCUCGAUAUUACGAUGUGCUGCACAUCCCCGCUUCCCCAGUCCAGAUUACCCC